GUUGUAUUACUUCCGUCCCAAAAUUCUUGUCUUACAUUUAUCUAAAUACGGGUGUAUCUAACACUAAAAACAUGACUAGAUACAUCGUAUUUAGACAAAUCAAGGAUAAGAAUUUUGAGACGGAGGGAGUAUAUG
rfam:Triticum aestivum genome assembly, contig: Triticum_aestivum_CS42_TGACv1_scaffold_308476_4AS